rnacentral:rRNA from 1 species
CAAUAGCGUAUAUUUAAGUUGUUGCAGUUAAAAAGCUCGUAGUUGGAUUUCGGAUGGGACUUGCCGGUCCGUCGUUUCGAUGUGCACUGGCCAGUCCUAUCUUGUUGUCGGGGACUAGCUCCUGGGCUUCACUGUCCGGGACUAGGAGCUGACGAGGUUACUUUGAGUAAAUUAGAGUGUUCAAAGCAAGCCUACGCUCUGAAUACAUUAGCAUGGAAUAACACGAUAGGACUCUGGCUUAUCUUGUUGGUCUGUGAGACCAGAGUAAUGAUUAAGAGGGACAGUCGGGGGCAUUCGUAUUUCUUUGUCAGAGGUGAAAUUCUUGGAUUUAUGAAAGACGAACUUCUGCGAAAGCAUUUGUCAAGGAUGUUUUCAUUAA